GGUUGAGUCACUGACGUGAACUUCCUGUCCGGUUUUGCUCCCCCUCGGGCUCAUGCGGUGGAAGAGACCUUCAUAUGGGCUAUACUCAGCCUUGCCUCACGGUAGACCUGAGUCCUAGGACAAUGCCUCAGGACUACCUGGCAUGAUGACUCCUGGCUGUCCCCAGUCCACCUGAUUGUGCUGCUGCUCCCGUUUCAACUGUUCUGCCUGCGGCUAUGGAACUUGUUCACCGAGCGCGCUACCUUGUCCCGGACCUGCUGUUUUCGACUCUCUCCACCGGAGCUGCUGUCUCGACCUCUGAAUGCUCGGCUAUGAAAAGCUAACUGACAUUUACUCCUGAGGUACUGACCUAUUGCACCCUCAACAACCACUGUGAUUAUUAUUUGACACUGCUGGUGAUCUAUGAACUUUUGAACAUCUUGAAGAACAAUCUAACCUUAACGGCCAAAUACUUUUUUACCAAUGACCUGCUGCUGGCAUUAAACAAAGCAUGUGUGUCCAUGUAUGCUGAUGAUUCACCCAUAUACACAUCAGCAACCACAGCUAAUGAAGUCACUGAAACCCUUAACAAAGGCAGUCUGUUUUGGAAUGGAUGGCCAGUAAUAAACUGUUCCUGAACAUCUCUAAAAUUAAGAGCAUUGUAUUUGGUACAAAUUAAUCACUAAAUAGUAGACCUCAGCUGAAUCUGGUAAUGAAUGGUGUGGCUGUUGAACAAGUUGAGGAGACUAAAUUACUUGGCGUUACCUUAGAUUGUAAACUGUCAAGGUCAAAACAUAUUGAUUCAAUGGAUGUUAAGAUGGGGAGAGGUGUGUCCGUAAUAAAGAGAUGCUCUGCUUUUUUGACACCACACUCCAAAAAGAAUGUCCUGCAGGCUCUAGAUUUGUCUUAUCUUGAUUAUUGUCCAGUCGUGUGGUCGAAUGCUGCAAGGAAAGACAUAGUUAAGCUACAGUUGGCCCAGAACCGAGCAGCACAUCUUGCUCUUCAUUG
rnacentral:lncRNA from 1 species